rnacentral:rRNA from 1 species
CCUACGUGAGGCAGCAGUGGGGAAUAUUGCACACUGGGGGAAACCCUGAUGCAGCGACGCCGCGUGAGUGAAGAAGUAAUUCGUUAUGUAAAGCUCUAUCAGCAGGGAAGAAAAUGACGGUACCUGAGUAAGAAGCCCCGGCUAACUACUUGCCAGCAGCCGCGGUAAUACGUAUGGGGCAAGCGUUAUCCGGAUUUACUGGGUGUAAAGGGAGCGUAGACGGCAGUGCAAGUCUGGAGUGAAAGGCGGGGGCUCAACCCCCGGACUGCUCUGGAAACUGUACAGCUGGAGUGCAGGAGAGGUAAGUGGAAUUCCUAGUGUAGCGGUGAAAUGCGUAGAUAUUAGGAGGAACACCAGUGGCGAAGGCGGCUUACUGGACUGUAACUGACGUUGAGGCUCGAAAGCGUGGGGAGCAAACAGGAUUAGAUACCCGUGUAGUC